UAGCAACAACAGUCCUAUUCAAAUGGACCGGCCCAAAAUCUGGGCCGGUAGCAAACAUUAGAGAGUUCUGGCGGCCUCUAGUGGACAGGAGGCAGAGCUGCAUGUGGCUGCGUCUUAGUAUCAAAGACGUUAAUGAGUCAGAGGGCUGAUCACAGGAGACGCGAUGAAUGAGCGGAUCAGUGAGAGUGCACGGAGCUGAGGAACAUCACAGGGACAGACGAGAGGAGGAGGUCCAGAAAUGAGAGAGCGCUGGAUCCAUAGACUGUAUGAUGGGCCCCCAAUGCUAAAUUGAACAGUGAAUCGCAUUGAACAGUCGGCGAUGAGACGGAAGAUUAAAGCUUGUUGCCAGACUCUUGUAAAAAUCAAUUAAAACUUACUUCAGAUGUUGUC